rnacentral:rRNA from 1 species
AGUGAACGCUGGCGGUAGGCCUAACACAUGCAAGUCGAACGGCAGCACAGUAAGAGCUUGCUCUUACGGGUGGCGAGUGGCGGACGGGUGAGGAAUACAUCGGAAUCUACUUUUUCGUGGGGGAUAACGUAGGGAAACUUACGCUAAUACCGCAUACGACCUACGGGUGAAAGCAGGGGAUCUUCGGACCUUGCGCGAUUGAAUGAGCCGAUGUCGGAUUAGCUAGUUGGCGGGGUAAAGGCCCACCAAGGCGACGAUCCGUAGCUGGUCUGAGAGGAUGAUCGGCCACACGGGAACUGGGACACGUUCCAAGCCCCUACGGGGGGCCGAGGUGGGGAAUUUUGGACAAUGGGCGCAAGCCUGCUCCAGCCAUCCCGGGGGGGUGAAGAAGGCCUGCGGGUUGUAAAGCCCUUUUGUUGGGAAAAAAAAGCAGCAGGUUAAUACCCCGCUGUUCUGACGGUACCCAAAGAAUAAGCACCGGCUAACUUCGU